UACGUAGGUGGCAAGCGUUGUUCGGAUUUAUUGGGCGUAAAGGGUCCGUAGGCGGUUUGGAAAGUCUGAUGUGAAAUCCUACAGCUUAACUGUAGAACUGCAUUAGAAACUUCCAAGCUAGAGUGUGAGAGGGGCAAAGGGAAUUCCCGGUGUAAGGGUGAAAUCUGCAGAGAUCGGGAGGAACACCAGUCGCGAAGGCGCUUUACUGGCUUACCACUGACGCUCAGGGACGAAAGCUAGGGUAGCAAACGGGAUUAGAUACUC
rnacentral:rRNA from 1 species